GAUGAACGCUGGCGGCGUGCCUAAUACAUGCAAGUCGAGCGAACAGAUGAGGAGCUUGCUCCUCUGACGUUAGCGGCGGACGGGUGAGUAACACGUGGAUAACCUACCUAUAAGACUGGGAUAACUUCGGGAAACCGGAGCUAAUACCGGAUAAUAUAUUGAACCGCAUGGUUCAAUAGUGAAAGACGGUUUUGCUGUCACUUAUAGAUGGAUCCGCGCCGCAUUAGCUAGUUGGUAAGGUAACGGCUUACCAAGGCGACGAUGCGUAGCCGACCUGAGAGGGUGAUCGGCCACACUGGAACUGAGACACGGUCCAGACUCCUACGGGAGGCAGCAGUAGGGAAUCUUCCGCAAUGGGCGAAAGCCUGACGGAGCAACGCCGCGUGAGUGAUGAAGGUCUGCGGAUCGUAAAACUCUGUUAUUAGGGAAGAACAAAUGUGUAAGUAACUAUGCACGUCUUGACGGUACCUAAUCAGAAAGCCACGGCUAACUACGU
rnacentral:rRNA from 1 species